rnacentral:rRNA from 1 species
GACGAACGCUGGCGGCGUGCCUAAUACAUGCAAGUCGAACGCAUUUUCUUUCACCGUAGCUUGCUACACCGACAGAAAAUGAGUGGCGAACGGGUGAGUAACACGUGGGUAACCUGCCCAUCAGCGGGGGAUAACACUUGGAAACAGGUGCUAAUACCGCAUAAUUCCAUUUACCGCAUGGUAGAUGGAUGAAAGGCGCUUUUGCGUCACUGAUGGAUGGGCCCGCGGUGCAUUAGCUAGUUGGUGGGGUAACGGCCUACCAAGGCUGCGAUGCAUAGCCGACCUGAGAGGGUGAUCGGCCACACUGGGACUGAGACACGGCCCAGACUCCUACGGGAGGCAGCAGUAGGGAAUCUUCGGCAAUGGACACAAGUCUGACCGAGCAACGCCGCGUGAGUGAAGAAGGGUUUCGGAUCGUAAAACUCUGUUGUUAGAGAAGAACAAGGAUGAGAGUGGAAAGUUCAUCCCUUGACGGUAUCUAACCAGAAAGCCACGGCUAACUACGUG